GCGGGAGUAACUCAGUGGUAGAGUGCGACCUUCCCAAGGUCGAGGCCGUGGGUUCAAAUCCCAUCUCCCGCUCCA
rnacentral:tRNA from 1 species